UUUAUUUUACUAAUAGUUUUCCCUUUCAAUCACUUUUCCAAAUGUUUUUGCAGCUCUUCACUUUACCAAAUGUUUUGGCAUCUCUCAAAUUGAACCUCUCAGUCGACCCUCUCACUCGACCUCCUUUCUUUCUCAGUCGACUUCCAUUUCCCUCUCACUCGACCCAUUUGCCUGAAACCAUGAGUGGGAAAAUCAACUAAAAAAGUAUUUAUUAUUUUUUUGCUACAAAACUUUGUACAUUUCCAUAAUUAUGGCAGUUAAUGGAUAAUCAUAUUUAAUGUUCUUCAUAAAAAUUGGGGAAUUGCAAAUUGGUUGCAGAAAUCGGAAAACUCGGUGUCAUAUUUGAAGGGGUUGGGUUGGGGUUGCAGAAGUCGGGAAAAUCUAUAGGGGAAAUUGAAUGUUCAUAAAAAUUGGGGAAUUUUAAGAAAUCUAGCUUCUGAUGAAGUAAUUUCAUCUUAUGAAAUUGUAGUUGCAUUGAGGGAACAUAUCUUUCUUGCAUAUCAUAUCUUGAUAUUUCUUAGUCCUGAAAGGAACACUUGUGUCAAAAAAAAUUAAUGGUUUUAUUAUGUAUGCACAUUUUAGAAUUAGCUAGAUCUGUUCAUGGUUUUCUCUACUCACUUCAUUUUUGUGUAGUAUUCUUUCUUUGUAUAUUUCCAUGUGGGCGAGUGUGUUAAAGAUAGUGAAAUAUGAGAAGCUCUGUUAAUGGUGGGGGGUGGGGGUUUUCUUAGAAGUUGAUUGUCUUCAUUUUGGGAUUUGAGGAUUAUUUCAUUUUGUAACUAGUGGAAUUUGUGAGAAUUAUGGAAUAUUCAGGUGAUUGUGAAAGUAAUAUUUGCCUGAUUGGGUGUUUAUGUAUUACAUCUUGCAUGUCUCAUAAUAAAGUGCGUCUAUUGCUUGCCUCAUCACAUAGAGAAACUUGAGCGUUAAAUAUAAAGUUUUUAUAGUGACUAAUGGGGUUUAAACAGCCUCUCUACCUCCCUGAGGCAGGGUAAGCUCUACCUACGUACUACACUUCCCGUCCUAGACUGUACUUGUAAAAUUACGUGGGUAUGUUGUUAUUGUUGUAACGAUGUUGUGUUGGUGAACAUAACCUUUGGAAUGUUUUCGUGUUCAAUCUGGUGGAUUUUUUGGUAAGUGUCGAUGAGAUGGUUCUUUUAAGUGUUAGUGUACUUGUCAUCAAAAUAGUCUUAGUGAUUUGAUUUGCUGUAUAGUAAUGUAUGGGAACUAAUUUUGGUUACUACUUUUGGUUAUGUCAUCCUAUCUCGGCAGAUGUGAGCUGCAGCACUACUAAACAUACGAGAUGGCAGAAGUCAAAUUUUCUUCUAGUUAUCAUUCAUCAUCUAUGAGUUCCAAAUUCUUGACUAGUAUCCGUACAGAAUGAUUUUCUUACUUGAACAUGGUAGUUUUCAGCUUAUUUUGGUUACUAGUUUAUGAGCUACUGUAGAGACGCUUGACCAGAAUGGUUAUGUAACUUCUGUACUUUGCAUAUUUUAUCUAAAUGGUGGCUUCUUAUGAACAAUUUUAAAUGGUUAUUGGUUUUUAACAUAUAGAAUUCGAGUGAUUCGUUUUCCUUAUAUUUUCUUGAUGCUCGUUAAGCUCUUUCUUUCAAUCGAGGGUCUAAAGAAAAUUACCUUUCUACCUCACAAAGAAGGAGAAUAGAUGAUUUUUUUUGUGCAAGGUGAUGAGAAAAUGACUUAGGAGAAUAGACAAAAGUUAUGGGUGAUUAGAUAUCUAGCAAGUGAUAUUUCAAUGUGAAUUAAUUGAGCAUGCUAUAAGUGUAGAAAAUGAACAUCUAUACAGGAAAGAGGGGAGGAGUCACCAGGUACAGAAAAAUAUUGAUGUUUUUGCACUAAAAUAUAAGGACUUUUCAGCAUGUACUUCAGUGUAAAUUAAGUGCUUCCUUGUACUUACAGGCCUUGGAUUUGUCACAUCAAUAACCUUCAUAUUCUUUGUCGGCAUUUUUGCUUCAUCGUGGCUGGGUUCAACAGUUUUCUAGAUAGGGGAAUGGUUUAUAAAGAGAAUGCCCUUUGUGAAGCAUUUAUACUCGGCAUACAAGUAAAUUAGUUCUGUUAUUUCACCAGGUGGCAAAGGAAGCAUCUGACAUGGUUUUGGCAGAUGAUAAUUUUAGUACAAUUGUAGCUGCUGUUGGUGAAGGCAGGUCCAUUUAUAACAACAUGAAGGCCUUCAUCAGCCAAGUGAUGCGGCUAGUGGAUCCAUUUCGCCCAUGAAUGCAAGGAGAUCACGUGAUGAUAAUGAUCCUAAUGACAUUCUUUGAUUUAGUUGCAUUUUUCUUGGAUAUUCAAUUAUGAUGAUGUAAUUGUGUGGUUGGAGUGGAUCUUAGAAUAUUGAAGUUUUUGUGUUUAAAUUUGAUUUUGGAGUUUGAAGAUACUAGUUAAUGUUGAAAAUUUGGAGUUCGAAGAUGUUAAUGUUGAAAAUUUAAUUUUGAAGUUUAAUGUUCAAUGUAUUUUUGAUAUGUUUGUCAA